rnacentral:lncRNA from 1 species
UUUGUUUAUUAUGAGCACUGUGGAGAAGAUCCAAGAUUGAUUAUCGUCACGAUGCAGCCAUGUAUGACGAUCUAUGCUGAGUCUAUGUAGAGGUUCUCCACGGAAAUAAUCCCUCCAGUCGACUGCACUGCUGCAACAACGUGCGCCUGGGGGAAUCAGUUUAACCGAACAGGAGCUUGACAAGGCCCAGGUGCUGUGAUCAGAAAUGGGGAAUGGUGGUGAAGAAGGUCCCGAGGUCCUCAAGAUCCUCGCAGUCUAAGCGGAUAGUGCUAUGUGCCGUCAACUAAAAGGACUGCAGACAGACGCUCUAACACACAGAGCCAUAAAUCAGGAAGGGACCAGGCUCGUGUUCACUGGCGGCGAUGAGAGCGCUGUGUAGAGGAGGGCGAAGGAGGAGAGGCCAGGAAGCGGGCGCUCCCCACACCCCAGGCCGAGGAUGGGUUCUCACCACCAACACAGGCGGCAGCAGCAAGACCAACACUUUAAUGCAUCAUGAAAGACCGGAACACCUGGAUGGUAUGUACAAGCGUCAUCGGAAUUGGUCUUGGGAUCGAAGCGCUGACCGCAGCCCCGGUUGUGGCCCAGUAGGGCCAUUUUCCUUUCCCACCAUUACAGGCCAAGCUGAAACACCGCAAAGCCCCCGACCACUGAGCAGGUACAUCCUUAGUC